UAGGGAAUUUUUCACAAUGAGCGAAAGCUUGAUGGAGCAAUGCCGCGUGAACGAUGAAGGUCUUUAAGAUUGUAAAGUUCUUUUAUUUGGGAAGAAUGACUUUAGCAAGUAAUGGCUAGAGUUUGACUGUACCAUUUUGAAUAAGUGACGACUAACUAUGUGCCAGCAGUCGCGGUAAUACAUAGGUCGCAAGCGUUAUCCGGAUUUAUUGGGUGUAAAGCAAGCGCAGGCGGAUUGAAAAGUCUGGUGUUAAAGGCAGCUGCUUAACAGUUGUAUGCAUUGGAAACUAUUAAUCUAGAGUGUGGUAGGGAGUUUUGGAAUUUCAUGUGGAGCGGUGAAAUGCGUAGAUAUAUGAAGGAACACCAGUGGCGAAGGCGAAAACUUAGGCCAUUACUGACGCUUAGGCUUGAAAGUGUGGGGAGCAAAUAGGAUUAGAUACCCUAGUAGUCCACACCGUAAACGAUAGAUACUAGCUGUCGGGGCGAUCCCCUCGGUAGUGAAGUUAACACAUUAAGUAUCUCGCCUGGGUAGUACAUUCGCAAGAAUG
rnacentral:rRNA from 1 species